AACGAGUUAUAAGCCGCCUGAUGAGAAUUCAGAAAUGAAUCGAAACGCGUCGUGGCUGUUUUCUCGGGUUACUCAC
rnacentral:hammerhead_ribozyme from 1 species